AAGUCUGUGCAGGUGAAGGUGUGUGAGAGCGCCCGAGAUGGCAGAACAAGAGCUACAGGUAAUUCUGCUUUUCCGUCCCCCCUCACCACUCUCGCUCGCUCGCCCGCUCGCGCCCUCACCUAGCCGGAAAGGUGGGAUAAGGGGGGGCCCCUCACAUGGGGCCCGAGCUCGGAGGCGGCCGGGCGGCGCGGAGUCCUCCUGGAUCGUGGCAAUGGGCAGACACAGAGCAGAAAGUGGCGGACUUGGGCGGCCACAGGUAACUCACUCCGAAGUUUACCCGAGUGGAGCGGCGGCAUGCUUGCAGCUCGGCGGCAGCCUGUGAGAGCUGAGGGUCAGUUCUUCGAGUAGAUCUCAAGCUGCGUUUUCCUCCUUCUCCAAAGCAGGGAUGGGAAGGUGGAGGCUACUGGUUGAAGAGAAGAAAGGGGUUGGGGGAAUGCAACACCUGCAAACACUAGGGAUUGUGGGUCGAGCGGAAGAGCUAAUGAGAGCCGAGCUCAGGUAUCCCAAGUCAACCAGAAUCAAAUGCGCAGUACGCCACAAGGCAUUUAAUGCCCACAGUAACAGGGCUGUUUGACAGUGGCAGAAGAGGACGGGACUAAAGUUACUUUGUGCUGAGAGGGGGAAAGAAGCACAAAGUUUGGUCUGUUGCGUAAUUGAAUUUUUAACACUCUUAUCCACAACAAACACUUUUUCGUGUCCUGCUGUGUAAAAGACAUCAGAUAUAUUACAGAUUUUCAAACAGGUGAGCAUCCUUUUACGAGCUGGGCAGGUGGGGAGUGGCGUGGUUUUGAUGGAGUGAGGAGAUUUGGUUGAAUGAACGCUAAGAUGGCCAGACGCACCUCUUCGAUCUCAACUCUGCAGCCUGGGAUUCCAGAGCUGCAAACAACCACUGAAUUCGUUCUGUAAACCUGUUGUCAUUUGACGUUUCCAGGCAGGCAUCAACAUUUACAUUGUAAUUCAAUAGACGCUACUACUACAAAGGAGCUUUAUUCUUCCAGCUUAAUAUGGUUGCUGCGGGAACACUGCAGGAUGAAACUGACUUUUUUUGUGGUAAUGUUUCUCCUGGUUGGGAACAACGCAAAUUAGCAAAGGCGUAAUUUAUAACCGCUGCUACCAAAGAGUGAAGUAUUUGUGGAAGUUCUGACUGGAAUCUAGCUCGUACAUAUGGAUUGUGGAAAUAAAGGAGGACGUGGAAA
rnacentral:lncRNA from 1 species